rnacentral:lncRNA from 1 species
CAAAUCGUUAACCUCCGGGUAGUUACAGCGGCGCUACCACAGGCCGUGGUUUGAUGUCUUAGAGAUGACUGGGUGCUGGUGUCACGAACAGGUGUGAUCGCGACAAUCAUUCUGGUUGAACAGUCUUAACAACCGGACAAACUAUUUCAAGCCUUUCUGUGACAAGCGGCUGACACAAGUUCCUUGUCUCCAUCUGUGGGCGGCAAGUUGUUUCCAUGGAGACCCACCCGCCGGAUGGCAAGUGGAAUAUUUAACCAGACCUCUCCGCUCUCCACCGGUUGGUCGUCAGGGAAGUUAAGCAGGACGUGUGGAUCACUAGAGAUCGUCGUGUUGAGCCGUACAGUGAGCGAGGUGUACCCGACCACACAGACGGCCCGCCAGUCAGACGACUGUUUCACGGAGGUCAGGGUCACUCAGGUUCCUGGCCAGCUGACUGUGUCACGUGCGGUCGUGAGGUGGCCAGCUUCCUACACAGUCUCCGUGUUGGUGUUACAGGGAGUGGCAUAACAACGUCUACAACAGUCACAUCAACCAGCGGUGGCACAACACCACCCUGUCUACAGUGGAGAGACGUGCUGGUGUUGAACUGGUGUCACGUUAGUGACAACUCGGGUGUGGUAAAAGGACUGCAAGAAGCGGGUAUCCCAGUGCAGAGGAUGAAGGAUGAAGACAUCGAGGACGUGGCCACGGCCCGCAGUGACGUGGUGUGGGUGACGUAUGGAGAUCGUGUUCACGGUUUGGAGAGAAAAGUCGUUGUCUGUCUGGAGGAUGAUCCUGAUGUUUACACGGAUAGACCUUGGUCCGCAGGACAGCUAGUCCGUAGCUCUGUCCGACUUGACUUCAUGUCCCGCUGUACAGCACAACUUGUGAUUGUAUCCCUUGACCAGUAGCCGCCUAAACAUCAGUCAGCUGUCCCUUGAUCGGCACCUGUGGUUGGGGGGACCACAUGGACAGACGCGGCAGCUGACAGGACCUGCUACUUUUGUCUAUUGCCUAUUCUCAUACAGUUAUUUCUUUCGUCUGACUAUUCACAAAAUUACCAUGAAGUCCAGGUACAUGUGAGCUACUGAGAGGUGCUGCGACAGUUUUUAGUUGUCAUCCUGGUCUAAGGGAAAGAACUAGUUCUGAUCUUUCAAAUAUCUUCCUCGGUAGUCUCCCUUCUACGACAACUUUCCGUUGUCUAUUAAACUAUGCUGUCAAAAUAUGCGCAAAGGAGUUAAAUCCCAGACUAAAGCUUAGAGUCAUGUCUAUACAAUUCACCUUAUUGUCGACAGGUUUCCGAUACUAACACAAACGGUCAUUCCAAACCGCUCUCUCACGAAGAGUGUAAGAAGAAAAGGACUUCUAACUUUGAAGUCAGACUCUUUAGUGCCUACUUCACUGAAACAUUUAACUUUUUCGGCGCUGUGGAACAUGUACUUUUGCAUUUAUGAUCUGCCGGCCUGUGCUUUCUUGCUGCAAGAAAAGAUUUUGGACCUUUACACCUCAUCGAUGUCUCUGAUGAAGAUGUGUGUUUUAUUACGGAUUCGUGGUUCAUGUCGUCGUGCGCCAUGAGUGCUUUGAGGCUGCUGGCAGGUUAUCUUCUUCAGUGCCAGGAUACUUAGCUGUGUGGUCCCAAAACUUGUAAGGCAGUAUUCAGAAUCUUUUUCCAAGUUCCCUUGACUGGGGAGACCUGAAAUAAUGUUUUGCAUAACGCCGCUGUUUUGCUUGUUUAGUUUCUGUGCGACAGAUUGAGAUUGUCUAUGAAGACAUUUAGUUUUGAAUUGUAAUGAAACAAAUGCAGCAAUUUAAAUUUGAAAUUCAUAGUACAGACUAACUUUUAGGCCUUAGUGGUCCGCCAUAAUUUUUACUUAAGUAAAGUGGUCCGCGGUCCGAAAUACUUUGAGAACUACUGCUCUAACAGACACUAACAUACCACUAGCAUACACUAAUAUACACUAACAGACACUAACAUACCAGUAGCAUACACUAAUAUACACUAACAGACACUAACAUACCAGUAGCAUACACUAACAGGCACUAACAGACACUAACAUACCAGUAGCAUACACUAACAGGCACUAACAGACACUAACAGACUACAUGAAUUCUCUACCCCUCCCUCUUUGUUCUGUCUACGUUUGAAGCCUUCAACUUCGUCCUGGGAACCCAACUCUUAUUAAAGAAACAUCUUGCAUAAUCAAAAGUACUAUUCAUUGAAUUCCUCAUCCAUGCAUUUAGGUCAUGUUUUGUCAAACUGUUUUAAGUUU